CUUGGGUUGUAAACCCCUUUUCUCUGGGAAGAAAGUUGUGAAAGCAGCCUGACGGUACCAGAGGAAUCAGCAUCGGCUAACUCCGUGCCAGCAGCCGCGGUAAGACGGAGGAUGCAAGCGUUAUCCGGAAUGAUUGGGCGUAAAGCGUCCGCAGGUGGCAGUUCAAGUCUGCUGUCAAAGACCGGGGCUCAACCUCGGAAAGGCAGUGGAAACUGAACAGCUAGAGUAUGGUAGGGGCAAAGGGAAUUCCUGGUGUAGCGGUGAAAUGCGUAGAGAUCAGGAAGAACAUCGGUGGCGAAGGCGCUUUGCUGGACCAUAACUGACACUCAGGGACGAAAGCUAGGGG
rnacentral:rRNA from 1 species